UCCCUGGUAGCUCAGCUGGUAAAGAAUCUGCCUGCAAUGCAGGACACCCAGGUUCGAGCCCUGGGUUGGGAA
rnacentral:tRNA from 1 species